rnacentral:rRNA from 1 species
AUACGUAGGGUGCGAGCGUUGUCCGGAAUUACUGGGCGUAAAGAGCUCGUAGGUGGUUUGUCGCGUCGUCUGUGAAAUUCCGGGGCUUAACUCCGGGCGUGCAGGCGAUACGGGCAUAACUUGAGUACUGUAGGGGAGACUGGAAUUCCUGGUGUAGCGGUGAAAUGCGCAGAUAUCAGGAGGAACACCGGUGGCGAAGGCGGGUCUCUGGGCAGUAACUGACGCUGAGGAGCGAAAGCAUGGGUAGCGAACAGGAUUAGAUACCCUGGUAGUCCAUGCCGUAAACGGUGGGCGCUAGGUGUAGGGGUCUUCCACGACUUCUGUGCCGUAGCUAACGCAUUAAGCGCCCCGCCUGGGGAGUACGGCCGCAAGGCUAGAACUCAAAUGAAUUGACGGGG